AGCGGCGAGCCGGAGCGCACGGCCCGGCCUUGACUGCCCCGCUCCCGAAUCUGGUUUUCAUAGAGCCGCGCAGUAAUUACCUAAAGCCGUAACUGUCUCCGAAAUUAUUCAUUAAAGUCAUUCCCGGGAAUCUAGCGUCGCGAGAGCCGGCAUUUAUGGCCUUUGCGCCCUCCGAGCGUGACAGCGUCUCUCGCCUUGCGUCCUCGGCGGCCGAGCGCUCAGCAUGGCGAAGAGGAAGGGGGAGACAGGGUUGCUCUCUCUCGCCUUCCCCUCGGUGUAUUUGUUUGCGGGGGCUCAGGCUGCUUUCCCCCUUUUGGCAAAGGAGCGCGAUGCAACCCGGCAGAUACCUUGGGAGCGAGGAGGGUAUUUUGGGGAGUUGCAGUGUUGUGCGGAAGAUCAUGUCUGUGCCCUGUGGUGCUGUCAGCAGUGACAGAUCCCAGAUGCCGUCGCUACUGUAUGGCAGAUUGAGUUUCUCAGCAGAAAACUCUCUCCCUCCCUCCCAAACGUCUUCAAAAACCUUCUCCAGAUACUGCGGGUCACUUCGGCUCAAACGGGGAGAGAAAGGGGGGAAAAAGGCUUUUCCUCUCUCCUCCCUCUCUCUUCCUCCCGCCGGAUCUCUCUGGGGUGCGCGGGGGGCCAUGACCGGGCCCUUGUGCGCCCGGGGGGCUGAGGGGUCCCCUCUCACCCCCGUCCUGCUGGGAGCCCGUCGCCGAGCCCGGGGACCGCCGUGCAGGCCCACAAGUGGAUCAGACCAGUCCUGCACUGUUGCAUUUAGUGUAUAGCAAAACUGCCCUUGAGGAAGAUUCUGCAGGCUUAAGGACUGAGGAGUUAGGACUGGGAGCUAAGGAAAGGACAGGAAUGACUUCCUUCAUAGCCGGUUUUAAAAAGCCAGCUGCUCUCUGCAGUCAAGCCAAAAUUAAGGGGAGAUGGUCUGAGGUUUAGAAAUGUGCAGGAUAAAUUUUCAUGCCAAAUAAGAAAAAUGAGAAAUUAUCUUAGCAUAUCGCAACUUGUCAUAAAAAUACAUGUCUCUUUCCUCCUUUAAAAGAGGACUUUAUAAAUUCUACUGUCUUUGAUUUGUUGUCUAUUUUAUACUGAUUUUUUAAUUCAGAUGUUCUUAAGAAAGCAUAAUGAAACACUUGAUGUGUCUAUUGUCUUGAUUAGUGCUUCAUUGUGUAAGAAUUUGGUUAUUGAAAAUACACUAAAUAUUGUGCUGUAAAUUGUGUUGUGACUUAUGCAAUACCUUUUAGUAUUAAUAGAAAAAAUUCAGGAUGGCAAAAAUGGUAUUUAAUUUUUUAUUUUAUUUUGUUUAAUAAAAAACUCACUUGACUGCA
rnacentral:lncRNA from 1 species